rnacentral:lncRNA from 1 species
GGGCUUUCACUGCCACUAGAAAAAUCCACUCAUGCCACAUUGCACAUUAAAUUGAACACAUUGACAAUACUCAAGUUUUCAACAGUCAAUGCAAUCACAUAUUAAAUCCAAACAUCUCUAUAUAGUAACUAUGAAUAUAUAUAAGCACAUACACCACCAUCUCACCCAGCUCAUGUGCGUCCCCCUAAAUCGUGCACAAGGAAUAUCAUCAUCGUGUGCAUCCCCCCACAUCGUGCACAUGGGUAAUAUCACCAUCAAUCUCUCUCACCACCAUCAUCACCGGCAGGAGCACACUCACCCUGCAUUUGUAGGGUGGCAUUUUGUCACACAAUGUACCAGUUAUGACAUAGUAUAUAUAUAUAUAUAUCAAUAUUAUACAGAAACACAUGGAUUCAUCACACUAUCCAUUUCAUAACAUAAAAACAUUUCAUAAGGGCUUGUUCCCGUGCGAGUUUUUAAAGAAAAACCAAUAAAACGUUUUAGGGGAUUCAAUCAAACAUAAAUGUGUAUAUCCCAACACAUUUUAAUGCAAGUUCACUCACCUUAUGAUAGUAAGAUAUUACAUCCCUAUUUGUUUGAAGGUGUAUGUAGCUAUUCCUACCUGCUGGUUGCUCGUUAUUUCCCUCGGCACACCACCACAGUACUCUAACUUUACCUUUGCACUUCCUAGCAACCAUACAAAUGCAAUACCUUUAGUGUACAUCAUUCCUACUUUUCUUUUUCCUUCCAUCAUGAAUCCUUAUUCAACUAAUUUAUAUCUUGAAACAUUUUUACCAAAGUUGCCUUUAUCCUUUACUUGCGUAAUUCUUUAGAUUAUAGAUACCAGAAACUUGUUUAUAACUCUAACACAUAUAUUAACCUUGUCUAAGGAUAUUUAUCAAGUUUAACCAUCAUUUCCACAACAAUUAUAUAACAAUUGGCAGCAACUACAAAUUACUUUCAUCAAACACUUUCUAAGUUUACAUGUAACACUAUUCUCAUUUACAUGUUGCCACCAAGUAUAACAUCAAUAUCCAUUCAUACGCACCAACAUCCAUAACCCUUUUAAGCUUUUCCUAACAACACAUAUAUCAACACAAUUCAUUUCUUUUCUAAAUUUUGAAUUAAUAUAAUUACCUUCCAAUCAUACCCAUGACUCCACAAUAACACUACAUAUUGCACACAAUCAUGCUCACCAUAGUAAACCAAUCAUAGGCUUCAAAUUAUAGCAUGAAGCGUACCACUUGGUUUUAGAUUGGAUUUCACCCAACAAAAUUGAUAAUUCCCUCACACCCAUGGCUACCAUAGCUACCACAAAAUGAUUCACUCAUUAUCUUUCUAUGGAUUUAACCGACCAUGAACUUAAAACACAGAAAUCCUUACCUUAGCUUGCUUGAAUUACAAAAACCAAGCUUUUUCUUCCUUUCUCUUUAUUUCUUUGUUCUUAUCCUAGGAUUUGGAUGUGCUAGAUAUUAGGGUUAAAAGCUUCAGGUGUAGUGCCCAAGAAGUUUAGAGAAGAAAGAAUUAAGAAAAGAAAUGAAAGGAGAAGAAACAAGGAAAAUCACAUGAAAAAAAUUGAUUUUCAUGAACUUGACAUGAAAAUGGCGUUGGAAGCUUCAAGAAG